GCGGCUCUGUAAAUUUACACAGACAUUAAAUUUCGUUCUAUUCAUUUUAGACAUAUAAUGCUAAGCUGAUUUUUUUUAUAGCACACUGAUCGAUAUCUCUGUAAAAUAAUCAUUUUUUUUAACUAGCGGGGCAGUGAAAUCUUUGCUUUGUGCUAAAGUCAACAGUGACAGAGUUUGAGCUCAAAUAAAUGCCGUGAUGUCUGGAGCCCUUUGCAGAAGGCAGAAGGCGAGCUUCUACAAUGGGCUCCUGUGUGGCUUGCCAACAACAAGCACCGGCUUAUUUUUGCACAGGGCUCUGCUGACUGAAGUGAUCCCCACGGCCUGAGUGGAAGAGAGGAGGGAGAGGAAGUCUCAGAGGGAAGAGGGAUAGCUGCUGAAGAGCUGAUGCGCACACACACACACACACACACACACACACACACACACACACACUCAAACACUCACACAAUGUCCCUCUCAGUCCUGGGUUGUGACCGGCCCAUGGCAUUGGCCAGAUGCACAUGGCUUACUUUGAAGGACACUUUCCAUCCCUGCUUUCCGUCUACUUUCAUCACCCUGCAUCAUGCGACCUGAAAGCACUUCCCCGUCGAUGUACUUGGCUAUAUCUACGUCUGACCUGUCUGCCAUAUGUAAUAUCAAAGCCUCUGUCAGCGUGGAGCUGAAUGGGAACAAAAGAGAGGCCUCCAUUAAUGAUUAACUGUUCUAAAAGCCCCGGCUUUUGUAUUCCCAUGGUGCCCGGGCUAUCUGGCCACCAUGUGACAUGCUCACAGCAUUUUUCGAGCAGAUUGGGGGAAAGCUAGUGAGCAAACACAGGUGCUUUGGAGCAGCGUUGCCGACGCUGUCAGGGACAACCACAAACAAGAGCAGCUAUGCCUGGCUAAAUGAAUCCCCACCCCUCCCAACACCAUCACCACCUCCGCUGCUCCCCCCCGCUCUCAGUCGCUAGCUAACUUGUUUGCUAGCUCCCUAUAGCUUUCUCCCCUGCAAAGCCUUCCUUCUGGAGUGUCCCCACGUCCCCCCCUACAAGUCCAAUGUCCGCUACAGCCGCCGCUCCACAACUUCUCACACCCUCCAAAGAAACAAACAAAUAAAAGUGAGGACGGCCGACCACUUCUUUGAGGUGAUGGCAUUUGCUGUGGUCAUGACUAGUGGGAGAGCAAACAAAUUAAUGGUGUUCGAGUUUUCACUUUCCAAACCAAACUAAAUGUCUUUUAGUUCAAGUGGGGCAAUUCCACUGACCCUGGUGUCAAACGCUGUAUAAGGGUUGCACACUCUUGCACUUGAAAUGCUGAGAGGAGGCCGUAAGAAAUUAAACAGGGCUUGAGUAUUGGCCUACAUGGACCUGGUUUGUUAAAUGACCUAUAAAUCUUGAAUAAACUGUGUGUGUAAUAAA